rnacentral:misc_RNA from 1 species
AGAAGCUGCACCAUGUCCAUGUCACCCACGGUCAUCAUCCUGGCAUGUCUUGGGUUCUUCUUGGACCAGAGUGUGUGGGCACACGUGGGUGGUCAGGACAAGCCCUUCUGCUCUGCCUGGCCCAGCGCUGUGGUGCCUCAAGGAGGACACGUGACUCUUCGGUGUCACUAUCGUCGUGGGUUUAACAUCUUCACGCUGUACAAGAAAGAUGGGGUCCCUGUCCCUGAGCUCUACAACAGAAUAUUCUGGAACAGUUUCCUCAUUAGCCCUGUGACCCCAGCACACGCAGGGACCUACAGAUGUCGAGGUUUUCACCCGCACUCCCCCACUGAGUGGUCGGCACCCAGCAACCCCCUGGUGAUCAUGGUCACAGGUCUAUAUGAGAAACCUUCGCUUACAGCCCGGCCGGGCCCCACGGUUCGCGCAGGAGAGAACGUGACCUUGUCCUGCAGCUCCCAGAGCUCCUUUGACAUCUACCAUCUAUCCAGGGAAGGGGAAGCCCAUGAACUUAGGCUCCCUGCAGUGCCCAGCAUCAAUGGAACAUUCCAGGCCGACUUCCCUCUGGGUCCUGCCACCCACGGAGAGACCUACAGAUGCUUCGGCUCUUUCCAUGGAUCUCCCUACGAGUGGUCAGACCCGAGUGACCCACUGCCUGUUUCUGUCACAGACUCUGAUGAACAAGACCCUCAGGAGGUGACAUACGCACAGUUGGAUCACUGCAUUUUCACACAGAGAAAAAUCACUGGCCCUUCUCAGAGGAGCAAGAGACCCUCAACAGAUACCAGCGUGUGUAUAGAACUUCCAAAUGCUGAGCCCAGAGCGUUGUCUCCUGCCCAUGAGCACCACAGUCAGGCCUUGAUGGGAUCUUCUAGGGAGACAACAGCCCUGUCUCAAACCCAGCUUGCCAGCUCUAAUGUACCAGCAGCUGGAAUCUGAAGGCGUGAGUCUCCAUCUUAGAGCAUCACUCUUCCUCACACCACAAAUCUGGUGCCUGUCUCUUGCUUACCAAUGUCUAAGGUCCCCACUGCCUGCUGCAGAGAAAACACACUCCUUUGCUUAGCCCACAAUUCUCUAUUUCACUUGACCCCUGCCCACCUCUCCAACCUAACUGGCUUACUUCCUAGUCUACUUGAGGCUGCAAUCACACUGAGGAACUCACAAUUCCAAACAUACAAGAGGCUCUCUCUUAACACGGCACUUAGACACGUGCUGUUCCACCUUCCCUCGUGCUGUUCCACCUUUCCUCAGACUAUUUUUCAGCCUUCUGGCAUCAGCAAACCUUAUAAAAUUUUUUUGAUUUCAGUGUAGUUCUCUCCUCUUCAAAUAAACAUGUCUGCCUUCA